CGAAGCAACGCGAAGAACCUUACCAGGCCUUGACAUGCAGAGAACUUUCCAGAGAUGGAUUGGUGCCUUCGGGAACUCUGACACAGGUGCUGCAUGGCUGUCGUCAGCUCGUGUCGUGAGAUGUUGGGUUAAGUCCCGCAACGAGCGCAACCCUUGCCUUUAGUUGCCAGCAGUUCGGCUGGGCACUCUAAAGGGACUGCCGGUGUUAAACCGGAGGAAGGUGGGGAUGACGUCAAGUCCUCAUGGCCUUUAUGACCAGGGCUACACACGUACUACAAUGGCCGAUACAAAGGGCAGCGACACUGCGAGGUGAAGCCAAUCCCGUAAAAUCGGUCUCAGUCCGGAUUGGAGUCUGCAACUCGACUCCAUGAAGUUGGAAUCGCUAGUAAUCGUGGAUCAGCAUGCCACGGUGAAUACGUUCCCGGGCCGUU
rnacentral:rRNA from 1 species